rnacentral:lncRNA from 1 species
AUAUAAGAAAACUUUUGAAAUAAGUGUGUCAUCUUUGUUGUUGCAAAAUUUUUCAGUACUAAGGUUUUAUCCAAUAAUUUGGUGAGAGAAGCCAAUUCCAUUCUUUUCUAGAGACUCAUAAUUUCAUCUUUACUAUGGCCUAACUUAUAUUUUCUUGUAUUAAAACAAAACUUUGCUAAUUAAUUAUAUGUUAGAUUGGUGUCUAACUUCUAAUUUUGU